rnacentral:rRNA from 1 species
UACGUAGGUGGCAAGCGUUGUCCGGAAUUACUGGGUGUAAAGGGAGCGUAGGCGGGAAUCCAAGUUGGGUGUGAAAUGCUCAGGCUUAACCUGAGAGGUGCAUCCAAAACUGGGUUUCUUGAGUGAUGUAGAGGCAGGCGGAAUUCCUAGUGUAGCGGUGAAAUGCGUAGAUAUCUGGAGGAACAUCAGUGGCGAAGGCGGCUUCCUGGUCCAACACUGACACUGAGGUGCGAAAGCGUGGGGAGCAAACAGG